rnacentral:rRNA from 1 species
UACGAAGGGGGGCUAGCGUUGUUCGGAAUUACUGGGCGUAAAGCGCGCGCAGGCGGUCCUUUAAGUCAGGGGUGAAAGCCCAGAGCUCAACUCUGGAACUGCCUUUGAAACUAGAGGACUUGGGUACGGGAGAGGUGAGUGGAAUUCCGAGUGUAGAGGUGAAAUUCGUAGAUAUUCGGAAGAACACCAGUGGCGAAGGCGGCUCACUGGCCCGUUUACCGACGCUCAGGCGCGACAGCGUGGGAGGCAAACAGG